rnacentral:rRNA from 1 species
CCUACGGGAGGCAGCAGUGAGGAAUAUUGGACAAUGGGCGCAAGCCUGAUCCAGCCAUGCCGCGUGCAGGAAGAAGCAUCUAUGGUGUGUAAACUGCUUUUGUACAGGAAGAAACACUCCCUCGUGAGGGAGCUUGACGGUACUGUAAGAAUAAGGACCGGCUAACUCCGUGCCAGCAGCCGCGGUAAUACGGAGGGUCCGAGCGUUAUCCGGAAUCAUUGGGUUUAAAGGGUCCGUAGGCGGUUUAAUAAGUCAGUGGUGAAAUCUGGUCGCUCAACGAUCAAACGGCCAUUGAUACUGUUAGACUUGAAUUAUAAGGAAGUAACUAGAAUAUGUAGUGUAGCGGUGAAAUGCUUAGAUAUUACAUGGAAUACCAAUUGCGAAGGCAGGUUACUACUUAUGGAUUGACGCUGAUGGACGAAAGCGUGGGGAGCGAACAGGAUUAGAUACCCUGGUAGUCCACGCCGUAAACGAUGGAUACUAGCUGUCGUAGCAUCUGAGUGGNGUAGACGAAGUAGAGUAAGUAAGUACCACCGUACGGGAGGUACGGUUAACGGUCGAAGAAGUUAGUAAACGUUAAAGGUUAAAGUUAGUUACGGCGUUGAGACGUUAGCGACGGACGACGACGAGGGAGGAGGAG